rnacentral:sRNA from 1 species
AGUUAUGAGCGUAUUCCCGAUAGGAUUCACCUUGAUGUGAAGAUGCCUUGUAACCAAAUAAAUAGGGGGAAUAAAUAAAAU